rnacentral:lncRNA from 1 species
UUUUCUCUUUUUGCUUUAAUUUCUUCCUAUAUUACCCAAAGCGUUUAAACAGAACUUUCUAAUUUGUGAAGUAUAUUUAUGUACAUUCUCUUAUUUAAACAAUAUCUAUAACACUGAAAUCUUCCUCGAAUGGAGACAAAAACCGAUGUGUUUUCUGCCUUCAAGGGGUAGAGACAGACAUGAAGUGCAUACCUCCCGCUUGUCCCAGUCUAGUCAGGCUGGGGUGGUGAUACUACGUAUAGGGCCAUGUGAGGGAGGCUGAAGGAGCUUCUGACACAGCUCUCUCUCCUCUGGCUGAGUGAACAGCUUAAUCCUCGGCUUCUCCACCUGUCUUCUUGGGUGUGCCAGCAAGUACCCGCCCAUUCCCCAGCUCCAGCCAACUGUGCUGGGCCGGGCCUGCGAACCGAUCGCAUAUGUUACCCAGGAAAUUAUUGGGAUGUCACACGGCAGUGUCAUCUUCCUGGCGCCUGCCCUUGAGCAGAUUGUGAUUCAGUGACCCACAGGCCCAUCCCUCACAAUGCUGAACCCUUCGCGAUUGUGCCCCCCCCCUUGGUUCUCCAGGCAGAGACCCCAUCCAGCGAGAGGGGCAGACAGAUCCAGAGCUCCAUUUCCUCAGCCUUUUGCUGAAGAAGCUGCUCUGAGGCCAUCAGGUGGUCCUCAUUUCCGGCCAGCGGCUAAUACAGUUUGA